CCUACACAUGCAAGUCGAGCGCACCCUUCGGGGCGAGCGGCGGACGGGUUAGUAACCCGUGGGAAUGUACCCUUCUCUAUGGAAUAGCCUCGGGAAACUGAGAGUAAUACCAUAUACGCCCUUCGGGGGAAAGAUUUAUCGGAGAAGGAUCAGCCCGCGUAAGAUUAGAUAGUUGGUGGGGUAAUGGCCUACCAAGUCUACGAUCUUUAGCUGGUUUUAGAGGAUGAUCAGCAACACUGGGACUGAGACACGGCCCAGACUCCUACGGGAGGCAGCAGUGGGGAAUCUUAGACAAUGGGCGCAAGCCUGAUCUAGCCAUGCCGCGUGUGUGAUGAAGGCCUUAGGGUCGUAAAGCACUUUCGCCAGGGAUGAUAAUGACAGUACCUGGUAAAGAAACCCCGGCUAACUCCGUGCCAGCAGCCGCGGUAAUACGGAGGGGGUUAGCGUUGUUCGGAACUACUGGGCGUAAAGCGCACGUAGGCGGAUCAGAAAGUUGGGGGUGAAAUCCCAGGGCUCAACCCUGGAACUGCCUCCAAAACUCCUGGUCUUGAGUUCGAGAGAGGUGAGUGGAAUUCCGAGUGUAGAGGUGAAAUUCGUAGAUAUUCGGAGGAACACCAG
rnacentral:rRNA from 1 species